AACAGCCAGUCUAGCUAGAAAGAGCAAUCUGUCAAGUCUAAUUAGAGUAGAAGAAAGUGAACAAUGGGUGCCCAGCUCUAAAAUGACAGCUCAGUUUAAUGGGGUGGAGGCGCUGGGGAGGGCUGUGUGCUUUGUGUGCUUGGAACUGGUCCCUUCAGAUGUAUCCUUGCUGAACUCAAACUGCAAAGCAACUUACACUGGAUUCUUAAUUUACUUGACCAGGAAUCUUCAGGUCCCCAAGCUUUUUAACAUAUGCAUAUCCAGCAAAAGCAGACGAGAACAUGGCUGUUUCAAAGACUCCUGCAGGCUUAGAGAGCAACGCCGAAAAUUCAUCUGCGGCGCCAUCUGCUGGACGCUCCGCGACGCUGCAAGGCCCUGCCCGGGGCGGAGAGAUCGCGCUGCAGGUGAAGGCCCAGCGUUUGCCCGGGAAAGGCUGGCACCAAGGAAAACCUGGGGCUUUGGAGGAGGCGUAAUUCAUCUCAUUACAGCAGCAGGACUGAAAACGAAAGCUGUGUUUUCCACCACUGUACACAGAGAAGUAUCAGCAACAGACGUUACAAGGUGUUUGUUGCCCUGAAUGGAACUGAGUUUGCUGAAUGGAAGGAAUUUUAAAAGUGAAGAGGGUGACAGAAAUAAAGUUAAUCUGGGAGCAGGGAGGUGCUAAAAUGUGGCCUUGGCCGUGUUUGUUAUAAAGUCACUAAGCCCUGCUA